GGACAACCUACCCUACAGAAGGGGAUAACCCCGGGAAACUGGGGAUAAUACCCUAUAGACUAUGGAUGCUGGAAUGCUCUGUAGCCGAAAGGUCCGCCGCUGUAGGAUGGGUCUGCGGCCGAUUAGGUUGUUGUUGGGGUAACGGCCCAACAAGCCUGUAAUCGGUACGGGUUGUGGGAGCAAGAGCCCGGAGAUGGAUUCUGAGACACGAAUCCAGGCCCUACGGGGCGCAGCAGGCGCGAAAACUUUGCAAUGCGGGAAACCGUGACAAGGGAACUCUGAGUGCCCGUAAAAUCGGGCUGUCCAUCAGUUUAAACAACUGGUGAAGAAAGGGCCGGGCGAGACCGGUGCCAGCCGCCGCGGUAAUACCGGCGGCUCGAGUGGUGGCCACUACUACUGGGCUUAAAGCGUUCGUAGCUGGUCUGUUAAGUCCCUGGGGAAAUCUUCCGGCUUAACCGGAAGGCGUCUCAGAGAUACUGGCAGACUAGGGACCGGAAGAGGUGAGAGGUACUCCAGGGGUAGGAGUGAAAUCCUGUAAUCCUUGGGGGACCACCUGUGGCGAAGGCGUCUCACCAGAACGGCUCCGACAGUGAG
rnacentral:rRNA from 1 species